UACGUAGGUGGCGAGCGUUGUCCGGAUUUACUGGGCGUAAAGAGCGCGCAGGCGGUUGUGCAAGUCGCGUGUGAAAGCCCCCGGCUCAACUGGGGAGGGUCACGCGAUACUGUUCGACUUGAAGGCAGGAGAGGGAAGUGGAAUUCCCGGUGUAGUGGUGAAAUGCGUAGAUAUGUGGAGGAAUACCGAUGGCGAAGGCAGCCCCCUGGGAUAACACUGACGCUCAUGCACGAAAGCGUGGGGAGCAAACAGG
rnacentral:rRNA from 1 species